AUUGAACGCUGGCGGAAUGCUUUACACAUGCAAGUCGAGCGGGGUGAUGGUGCUUGCACUAUCACUUAGCGGCGGACGGGUGAGUAAUGCUUAGGAAUCUGCCUAUUAGUGGGGGACAACAUCUCGAAAGGGAUGCUAAUACCGCAUACGUCCUGCGGGAGAAAGCAGGGGAUCACUUGUGACCUUGCGCUAAUAGAUGAGCCUAAGUCGGAUUAGCUAGUUGGUGGGGUAAAGGCCUACAAAGGCGACGAUCUGUAGCGGGUCUGAGAGGAUGAUCCGCCACACUGGGACUGAGACACGGCCCAGACUCCUACGGGAGGCAGCAGUGGGGAAUAUUGGACAAUGGGGGGAACCCUGAUCCAGCCAUGCCGCGUGUGUGAAGAAGGCCUUAUGGUUGUAAAGCACUUUAAGCGAGGAGGAGGCUCUUUUGGUUAAUACCCAAGAUGAGUGGACGUUACUCGCAGAAUAAGCACCGGCUAACUCUGUGCCAGCAGCCGCCGUAA
rnacentral:rRNA from 1 species